AUGCUCUGGUUUCUCUUCAGAACUAACAAAUAUUUCGCCUUUUAUUAAAGAUUUCCGUGGAGAGGAGCAAAACUGAGUUUUAUCUCAAUUUUUUGCAUGCCCCAUAUUAUUGGGGUU